CUUUUGCAACUUGAACCGCUCCGUCAGGUCAAAAUGAACACCUCUGCCUUUUACAGUAGUAGGAUGAGAAACAUAAGGAAGGAAUCUUUGGUGGAAAACAGACCCCCGCGCCCUGAAGCCUUAGCGGUGAGGUGAACAAAAGCUAGCACUACAAAGAAGCGCAUGGUCCCGAAAAAAGCGGCAAAUACCCUGUUUACAGGAGUGACUACUAGAACUCCACUCCAACAGAGACAGACUGUGGUGGAUGACUUGAGGCCUGAGCUGGUUAUGCGUGACACCGAGAUUGCGGCGCUGAAACAGCAGUUGCGUGUCUGCAAAGAGGCACAUGCAGACGAAAAGACGGCUCUUGCUGAUCUGAUCUCAAAGGGUUAAUCGAGAUCCACUCGACUGUUGUAACGCAGCUAAGAGAAGCGCAGACAGUGGCAACAGAGGCUCUAAGGACACAGUUAAAUUGUGCACACAUCUCAACCUCAGACUGACUGACUCCUCUUAGUGGGGAUGCAGAGAGUAGGGAAAUUGUUUAUUCUGCCACAACGCCAAUUAGAAUCUGCCAUCCCGAACUCCUAUUCACUUCUCCAACUCCGGAGCUUCUUGAGUCUCUGAUGAUGCAGAGUCAGGGGUGAGCAUAUCGUUACAGUUGCUUGCUUUUCCGCGCCAUAGUACCGCAGGACGUUUAUAAAGAGUGGGCAUCCACAACAAACUGGGAUGGUUCCAGAGGUAAACGUGGAUUGUCCAUGAACGUAAGGCACUUUAUAACGAUGACAGUUGCCCAGAAAUUCCCUCAUAUGACCAGUAGUGAUGGCAAGUGGGUCAAGGACAGGGUGAACGAAUUACUUCGUUCCCCGAGAAAUACUGUUGCCCACCGACGUUUACAGUAUUAAAUA